rnacentral:tRNA from 1 species
GGAAGUAUAACUCAAUUGGUAGAGUAUUGGUCUUUUAAACUAAAAGUUGUUGGUUCGAGCCCAAUUACUUCCU